rnacentral:misc_RNA from 1 species
GAUGAAGAACGUAGCGAAAUGCGAUAAGUAGUGUGAAUUGCAGAAUUCAGUGAAUCAUCGAAUCUUUGAACGCACAUUGCGCCCCUUGGUAUUCCAUGGGGCAUGCCUGUUCGAGCGUCAUUUGUACCUUCAAGCUUUGCUUGGUGUUGGGUGUUUGUCUCGCCUUUGCGUGUAGACUCGCCUUAAAAUAAUUGGCAGCCGGCGUAUUGAUUUCGGAGCGCAGUACAUCUCGCGCUUUGCACUCAUAACGACAGCGUCCAAAAGUACAUUUUACACUCUUGACCUCGGAUCAGGUAGGGAUACCCGCUGAACUUAAGCAUAUCAUCAGCGGAGGA